GCAAUGGGCGAAAGCUUGACGCAGCGACGCCGCGUGGGGGAUGAAGCUUCUCGGAGUGUAAACCCCUUUCGACCCGGACGAAUGACCCGCAAGGGUUUGACGGUACGGGUAUAAGAAGCCCCGGCUAACUACGUGCCAGCAGCCGCGGUAAUACGUAGGGGGCCAGCGUUGCUCGGAAUUACUGGGCGUAAAGGGUUCGUAGGCGGUGCGGCAAGUUGGGAGUGAAAUCUCCGGGCUUAACCCGGAGGCUGCUUUCAAAACUGCUGUGCUCGAGUGCGGGAGAGGCCAGUGGAGUUGCAGGUGUAGCGGUGAAAUGCGUAGAUAUCUGCAGGAACACCCGUGGCGAAGGCGGCUGGCUGGACCGCAACUGACGCUGAGGAACGAAAGCUAGGGGAGCAAACAGGAUUAGAUACCCUGGUAGUCCUAGCCCUAAACCAUCAGAACUUGGGGUGGCCCGCGUAGGCGGGUCGUCCCGUAGCUAACGCGUUUAAGUUCUGCGCCUGGGGAGUACGGU
rnacentral:rRNA from 1 species